rnacentral:rRNA from 1 species
AUUGAACGCUGGCGGCAGGCUUAACACAUGCAAGUCGAGCGGGGAAAAGUAGCUUGCUACUUAACCUAGCGGCGGACGGGUGAGUAAUGCUUAGGAAUCUGCCUAUUAGUGGGGGACAACAUCUCGAAAGGGAUGCUAAUACCGCAUACGUCCUACGGGAGAAAGCAGGGGACCUUCGGGCCUUGCGCUAAUAGAUGAGCCUCAGUCGGAUUAGCUAGUUGGUGGGGUAAAGGCCUACCAAGGCGACGAUCUGUAGCGGGUCUGAGAGGAUGAUCCGCCACACUGGGACUGAGACACGGCCCAGACUCCUACGGGAGGCAGCAGUGGGGAAUAUUGGACAAUGGGGGGAACCCUGAUCCAGCCAUGCCGCGUGUGUGAAGAAGGCCUUUUGGUUGUAAAGCACUUUAAGCGAGGAGGAGGCUACCGAGAUUAAUACUCUUGGAUAGUGGACGUUACUCGCAGAAUAAGCACCGGCUAACUCUGUGCCAGCAGCCGCCGUAA